CCUACGGGCGGCUGCAGUGGGGAAUAUUGCACAAUGGGCGCAAGCCUGAUGCAGCCAUGCCGCGUGUGUGAAGAAGGCCUUCGGGUUGUAAAGCACUUUCAGCGGGGAGGAAGGCGUUAAGGUUAAUAACCUUGGCGAUUGACGUUACCCGCAGAAGAAGCACCGGCUAACUCCGUGCCAGCAGCCGCGGUAAUACGGAGGGUGCAAGCGUUAAUCGGAAUUACUGGGCGUAAAGCGCACGCAGGCGGUCUGUCAAGUCGGAUGUGAAAUCCCCGGGCUCAACCUGGGAACUGCAUUCGAAACUGGCAGGCUAGAGUCUUGUAGAGGGGGGUAGAAUUCCAGGUGUAGCGGUGAAAUGCGUAGAGAUCUGGAGGAAUACCGGUGGCGGAGGCGGCCCCCUGGACAAAGACUGACGCUCAGGUGCGAAAGCGUGGGGAGCAAACAGGAUUAGAUACCCUAGUAGUC
rnacentral:rRNA from 1 species